rnacentral:tRNA from 1 species
GGUGACGUGUCCGAGCGGCCGAAGGUGCAACACUCGAAAUGUUGUGUACGGAAACGUACCGUGGGUUCAAAUCCCACCGUCACCGCCA